UACGAAGGGUGCUAGCGUUGCUCGGAAUUACUGGGCGUAAAGCGCACGUAGGCGGAUUGUUAAGUCGGGGGUGAAAUCCUGGAGCUCAACUCCAGAACUGCCUUCGAUACUGGCGAUCUCGAGUUCGGGAGAGGUGAGUGGAACUGCGAGUGUAGAGGUGAAAUUCGUAGAUAUUCGCAAGAACACCAGUGGCGAAAGCGGCUAACUGGUCCGGUUCUGACGCUGAGGCGCGAAAGCGUGGGGAGCAAACAGG
rnacentral:rRNA from 1 species